ACAAUUCGGGGUAGGUGUGCGCGUUUUCACCGUACAGUUGAUUCUAAACCCUGACGCAACCUUGUGUUGGUUGAGAGUGGUGUUUAUCCACUCUUAUACCGAAACUGUUUAUUUACCUCAUUUCGUACAGUAUAAAAUAACGAAAGUUGGUUUUAAUCUACCCCCUUUUU
rnacentral:telomerase_RNA from 1 species